UGUGCCUUAUAAUCCGGUGCGCCUUAUUGUGCGGAAAAUACGGUACUAAAAACAUGUGCAGAACACAUUUGGGCAAAGAAUGAGAACUGGUUCGCAUUUGUCUGCUGUAUGAACCUAGCUAAUGAUUUGACCUACAGCAGAGGUGGGUAUGUUGAUUUAUUGACAUUAAUAUAGUGUAGCAAUUGGAUAUCGACGACACUCAUAUAAUAUCGAUAUGGGUGCACGAAGCACGCUGGCGACACAUACCGUCAGAGCAUCAAGCAGGAGAAGAUGGACGCUAUGUAAGCAAGAUAAAAAAGGGAGAUCACACUGGGAUUUCCUCAAAGUAGAGUAAAACAUUUUUUUCUCCAAAUCAAUCCUAAAUUUGUAAAAUUCCCACUCUGCUGGCCCAUCUAAUGAAAGGUCUGAAAGACUUGUUCCAGUCACUUAACCAUCUCGGUUCCCUUUUGUCUCUUGUGUCUUUUGGGGUGGGUAAGGAGGGGGGUCAAAGCGUGUAAUUGGCUUGGCCUGUUCAGGUGAAAGCCCACCUCUUGUCUGCGGACAUAAAACCGUCUCCAAGUGUGUGUCUGCAGUGUGGCAAGGUUAAAAGGACAUGCCGUGUUGGGACGAACACACACAGUCAAACAGAGAGCACCUCUUCAUUCAUGCUUCAGCCCCAACAAUCAGCCCAGAUACCUGGGGAAGCGCUCAGCGAAAGUAAGUUGCCGUGACUACUUCCACCGGCAGUGUCAAUGUAAUGGAAGAGAAAAGAAGAUGAUGCCAAUGGCACUGACGAAGGAAAAAAAAUGAUAUAGAAGAUGAAGUCGCUGCAAGG